UGCAGUAGGCUAGAAUUAAAAAUGGAACGAAAUGAAUGGAGCUCAGAGGAUUCUCUGAAGAAUAAACCCCGCGUUAAAACCUGAUCAUCCAAAUAACGCAGGAUAGCCCACAGAAGCGUUAGACUGUCGUGAUGAAUUCUAGAUAAAGGUCAUUUCCAGCACGGUUUCUCGUGAAUUCCUCGCAUCACCUCCCUCACAUCUGAGUAAAGCGAAAGUGAAAGAGCAGAGGCUUUAAAGCCUUCAGUGUGUUUGUGCUCGUCUGGUACCUUUGUGUCCAUCACGAGUUCGGAUUAAACGCGUUUAUUCUGUUCAUCGACUCUCGGUAAGCGUGUUUCAAUCCUUCAGUCUGGAAUGUGAUUUCUAGUGAACGACUCGAUGAUGAUUGCUCUACACGACUGUAGCUUCCACACCAGCGCAUCUCUACAAACGGAUUUAAUGUCACGGUUUACAAAUGUCUCAUAGCAAACAUAACAUUCACAGAUGUCUCGUGAUGUGUUUGCUGGCCUGAUAAUUGACGUUUUGAAGUAUGCUGAACUCCAAGCAAGACUGAACACUGAGACGUUUCUCAAAACAUCUUCUUGAGUACAUGAGGACAAGUAAAUGAUUACCCUUUUAACAACUGCAAGACAUGAACAUUACUUCAACACACAAAGCCUUAAGAGCAAGAUUUAAUGCCGGGAGCCUGUGCUGUGUGAAACCUGCAGACCUGUGAAGACCAGACUCUCAAGCCAACAAACUCCAUGUGAAUACUGGGACUUCGUUACAGGAACGUUUCGCUGUUUUAAUAGCUGAAUAUCCGUUUACUCGGCUUUGGAGCCGUUUUGCUUUUCCUCACUCGUCACUCGUUUAAUGUGUUUUCUUGAUUGCUUUCGAUGCACUUGAUGCUUUUCUCUUAACUGACUUAUUUAUCUGUGUGAAGGGUUUCUGCUCUAAUGUUCACUCUUGCCUAAACAAAGAAAAAUAAACUUCUUUCCUCACUCAAUAAUGCCUGGAAUUCUCUGAAUUUCACCAUAACAGAAACACAGCUAUUAACUUUCUAAGUCAGAGGUUUUUUUUUACAUUUAUUUAUUUAUGUAUUGCUCCAUAUCAAGUUGAAAUGAAUUAAGCAGACUCUUUGUAUCAGUUCCAAACAUGUACGAUUGUCUUUCUUCUGUGGAACAAUGAAGAUUUGUUGAAGAAUCAACACCAUAAUAGUCAGUGGGGUCUAAAGUGAUUGUACAACUGAGUCUUCUGAAGCCAUACGAUCACUUUAUAUGACGGACAGAGUGAAAUUUAAGCACUUCAUCACUUUCACAUCAGCUCAUCUUUACAGACCCUUCUGAAAAUGAAGUAUGCUUUAUUACAGAAAUAAUAUACUUCAUAAGAAUAGUCACACUUUAAGGGACCAAUUCUCACCAUUAACUAACUAUUGACUUUAAAUUUUGCCUCAAUAAACUCUUAAUUUGCUGCUUACUAAUGGUUAGUAAGGUAGUAGCUAGGUUUAGAUAUGGGGUGAAUUAAGGCAUCUAAAAUAUGCUCAUGCAUUAAUAUGUGCUUCAUCAGUACUAAUAAAUAGCCAAUAUGCCAGUAAUAUGCAUGCUAAUAAACAACUAGUUAACAGUGGGAACCGGUCCCUAAACUAAAGUGUUACUGAGUAUACUUAAGUGUGAACUGAAUAAAACCUUAACUGUGUUAUUUACAAUUGAAUGAAAAUGUAUUAUAGAUUAACUUCAUAUUAAAUGCAAUUAGUUGACCCGCUUAAGCAUUACAUAUUUCAUAAUUACUUCUGUUGUCUUUGAAAUAUGGUUAAAGUUCUGCUAAAUGUACCGACAAGCGUUUAUAUUAAACUGUAAUAAACUCCUCGAUGACUGCUUUA